AAGCACCGGCUAACUCCGUGCCAGCAGCCGCGGUAAUACGGAGGGUGCGAGCGUUAAUCGGAAUUACUGGGCGUAAAGGGUGCGUAGGUUGUUGUAUAAGUUAUUUGUGAAAUACUAGUGCUUAACACUGGGGGGUCAACUAGUACUGUAUGACUCGAGUAAAGCAGAGGGUGGUGGAAUUUCCGGUGUAGCGGUGAAAUGCGUAGAGAUCGGAAGGAACAUCGGUGGCGAAGGCGACCACCUGGGCUAUUACUGACACUGAGGCACGAAAGCGUGGGUAGCAAACAGGAUUAGAUACCCUGGUAGUCCACGCUGUAAACGAUGUCAACUAGCU
rnacentral:rRNA from 1 species